rnacentral:rRNA from 1 species
UACAUAGGGCGCAAGCGUUGUCCGGAAUUAUUGGGCGUAAAGAGCUCGUAGGCGGCUUGUCGCGUCGGAUGUGAAAGCCCGGGGCUUAACUCCGGGUCUGCAUUCGAUACGGGCAGGCUAGAGUGUGGUAGGGGAGAUCGGAAUUCCUGGUGUAGCGGUGAAAUGCGCAGAUAUCAGGAGGAACACCGGUGGCGAAGGCGGAUCUCUGGGCCAUUACUGACGCUGAGGAGCGAAAGCGUGGGGAGCGAACAGG